rnacentral:rRNA from 1 species
GACGAACGCUGGCGGCGUGCUUAACACAUGCAAGUCGAACGGAAAGGCCUAGCUUGCUGGGUACUCGAGUGGCGAACGGGUGAGUAACACGUGGGUGAUCUGCCCCUGACUUUGGGAUAAGCCUGGGAAACUGGGUCUACUACCGGAUAUUCAUUUUUCCUCGCAUGGGGAUUUGUGGAAAGCUUUUGCGGUUGGGGAUGGGCCCGCGGCCUAUCAGCUUGUUGGUGGGGUAAUGGCCUACCAAGGCGACGACGGGUAGCCGACCUGAGAGGGUGAUCGGCCACACUGGGACUGAGACACGGCCCAGACUCCUACGGGAGGCAGCAGUGGGGAAUAUUGCACAAUGGGCGCAAGCCUGAUGCAGCGACGCCGCGUGAGGGAUGACGGCCUUCGGGUUGUAAACCUCUUUCAGCGCCGACGAAGCGCAAGUGACGGUAGGAGCAGAAGAAGCACCGGCCAACUACGUG